AGUGAACGCUGGCGGUAGGCCUAACACAUGCAAGUCGAACGGCAGCACAGUAAGAGCUUGCUCUUACGGGUGGCGAGUGGCGGACAGGUGAGGAAUACAUCGGAAUCUACUUUUUCGUGGGGGAUAACGUAGGGAAACUUACGCUAAUACCGCAUACGACCUACGGGUGAAAGCAGGGGAUCUUCGGACCUUGCGCGAUUGAAUGAGCCGAUGUCGGAUUAGCUAGUUGGCGGGGUAAAGGCCCACCAAGGCGACGAUCCGUAGCUGGUCUGAGAGGAUGAUCAGCCACACUGGAACUGAGACACGGUCCAGACUCCUACGGGAGGCAGCAGUGGGGAAUAUUGGAUAAUGGGCGCAAGCCUGAUCCAGCCAUACCGCGUGGGUGAAGAAGGCCUUCGGGUUGUAAAGCCCUUUUGUUGGGAAAGAAAAGCAGCAGGUUAAUACCCCGCUGUUCUGACGGUACCCAAAGAAUAAGCACCGGCUAACUUCGUG
rnacentral:rRNA from 1 species